GGCCAUAAUCUAAAUUUUGAUUUUUUCACUUUAAAUUUAAAAUUAAUUUUAAAGUUUUUCGCUAAAGUUUAUUUUCCUACUUUGGUUUCUAGAGUGAUGCGAACACUUAUAUAAAAAAUUUAUUCGUAUUUUUUCUAUUUAUAAAUAUGAUGUUUUGCUUUUUUCACCGAUAAGCUUCAAGACGAGGGUGAUUAUAUAAAGAUCAAAGUCAGUUCAGUUGCUAUGAUUGAUUUAACGGUAGGUUUGAUAGGUAUCGGGAAUAUGGUCAUAAAGAUCUAGGCAGGUUGAUCCGCACGAACAUGUAAAUCACCUCGAUGCAUGGUGGUGUACUGGUAUGUAAAGAAUCCAAUCUUGAAAGUAUUGUGAUGUGGUGGAAACUAGUACCAACCAUGCAGCCUAGGGGCGUUGGG
rnacentral:lncRNA from 1 species